rnacentral:rRNA from 1 species
GAUGAACGCUGGCGGCGUGCUUAACACAUGCAAGUCGAACGAUGAAGCCCAGCUUGCUGGGUGGAUUAGUGGCGAACGGGUGAGUAACACGUGAGUAACCUGCCCUUGACUCUGGGAUAAGCCCGGGAAACUGGGUCUAAUACCGGAUAGGAGCGCCUGUCGCAUGACGGGUGCUGGAAAGAUUUUUCGGUCAUGGAUGGACUCGCGGCCUAUCAGCUUGUUGGUGGGGUAAUGGCUCACCAAGGCGACGACGGGUAGCCGGCCUGAGAGGGUGACCGGCCACACUGGGACUGAGACACGGCCCAGACUCCUACGGGAGGCAGCAGUGGGGAAUAUUGCACAAUGGGCGGAAGCCUGAUGCGGCGACGCCGCGUGAGGGAUGACGGCCUUCGGGUUGUAAACCUCUUUCAGUAGGGAAGAAGCGGAAGUGACGGUACCUGCAGAAGAAGCACCGGCUAACUACGUG